rnacentral:rRNA from 1 species
UGAAUACGAGAUGCUACGGCGUCGAAGCAGUCUAUGUCAUACUUCCAAGAAAAGCUUGCACUGUCAUAAACAAAUAAUGCCUGUACCAUAACCGACACAGGUGGGUAGGUAGAGUAUACUAAGGGGCGCGAGAUAACUCUCUCUAAGGAACUCGGCAAAAUGACUCCGUAACUUCGGGAGAAGGAGUGCCUUAUUUAUAAGGUUGCAAUAACAAGACCCAAGCAACUGUUUAUCAAAAACACAGGUCUCCGCUAAGUCGUAAGACGAUGUAUGGGGGCUGACGCCUGCCCAGUGCCAGAAGGUUAAAGAAGUUGGUUAGCAUUAGCGAAGCUGAUGACUGAAGCCCUGGUGAACGGCGGCCGUAACGAUAACGGUCCUAAGGUAGCGAAAUUCCUUGUCGGGUAAGUUCCGACCCGCACGAAAGGCGUAAUGAUUUGGGUACUGUCUCAGAGAGGGACUCGGUGAAAUAGACUUGUCUGUGAAGAUGCGGACUACCUGCACCUGGACAGAAAGACCCUAUGAAGCUUUACUGUAACCUGAAAUUGAAAUUGGACUUUAUUUGCGCAGUAUAGGUGGGAGGCUUUGAAGAUAUUCUUGCGGGAAUGUUGGAGCCAUCAGUGAGAUACCACUCUUGUAAUGUUAGAUUUCUAACUUUGUAUCAUUAUCUGGUCAAAGAACAGUUUCAGGCGGGCAGUUUGACUGGGGCGGUCGCCUCCUAAACGGUAACGGAGGCGCACAGAGGUUUCCUCUGAACGGGUAGAAAUCGUAUCUAGAGUGUAAAGGCAUAAGGAAGCUUGACUGUGAGACCUACAAGUCGAGCAGGGACGAAAGUCGGUCUUAGUGAUCUGACGGUGCUGAGUGGAAAGGCCGUCACUCAACGGAUAAAAGUUACUCUAAGGAUAACAGGCUGAUCUCCCCCAAGAGUUCACAUCGACGGGGAGGUUUGGCACCUCGAUGUCGGCUCAUCGCAUCCUGGGGCGGUAGUACGUCCCAAGGGUUGGGCUGUUCGCCCAUGAAAGCGGUACGCGAGCUGGGUUCAGAACGUCGUGAGACAGUUCGGUCCAUAUCCGGUGUAGGCGUUAGAAUAUUGAGAGGAGCCUUCUCUAGUACGAGAGGACCGAGAAGGACACACCUCUGGUGUACCAGUUAUCGUGCCAACGGUAAACGCUGGGUAGCUAUGUGUGGAGCGGAUAACCGCUGAAAGCAUCUAAGUGGGAAGCCCACCUCAAGAUAAGUAUUCU